UACGUAGGGACCAAGCGUUGUUCGGAUUUACUGGGCGUAAAGCGCGUGUAGGCGGCUCGGUAAGUCUGCUGUGAAAGUCCAGGGCUCAACCCUGGAAUGCCGGUGGAUACUGUCGAGCUCGAGUCCGGAAGAGGCGAGUGGAAUUCCUGGUGUAGCGGUGAAAUGCGCAGAUAUCAGGAGGAACACCAAUGGCGAAGGCAGCUCGCUGGGACGUGACUGACGCUGAGACGCGAAAGCGUGGGGAGCAAACAGG
rnacentral:rRNA from 1 species